GAUGAACGCUAGCGGCAGGCCUAAUACAUGCAAGUCGAACGGGAUCCAGAUCAAAGCUUGCUUUGGUUUGGUGAGAGUGGCGUACGGGUGCGUAACGCGUGAGCAACCUACCCUUGUCAGGGGGAUAGCCCGGCGAAAGUCGGAUUAAUACCGCAUGACAUCAUUGAGAGGCAUCUUUCGAUGAUCAAAGAUUUAUCGGACAAGGAUGGGCUCGCGUGACAUUAGCUAGUUGGUAAGGUAACGGCUUACCAAGGCUACGAUGUCUAGGGGCUCUGAGAGGAGAAUCCCCCACACUGGUACUGCGACACGGACCAGACUCCUACGGGAGGCAGCAGUAAGGAAUAUUGGUCAAUGGACGGAAGUCUGAACCAGCCAUGCCGCGUGCAGGAAGACGGCCCUAUGGGUUGUAAACUGCUUUUAUACGGGAACAAACGUCGGUACGUGUACCGGUCUGAGUGUACCGUAAGAAUAAGGAUCGGCUAACUCCGUG
rnacentral:rRNA from 1 species